AACCUCUCAGAGUCACAUCUGGAGAGUUUCCAGUACUCUACCAGUCUCGAAUUUGGGAGGGAGAGUCAAGCAGAGGCCUGUCCAUUCCAUUCCUAGCUUAGACGAUGGCUAGCGCGUGGAAGGCAAUCUGCUACAUGG